GUAAAAAGCCAAUAAUCAUCCAUGAUUUUCUCCAUGAAAAUAAGUUAAAUUUAGGCGAACAGAAUUUUCAAUAUUUAUGUUCUGCUUUAACCGUAAAAAAAUAGAAAUAGCUACUAAGGACGUUUCUCCUUUUUUUUAAUGCGAUGCACCUAUGAAUGCAUCAAAUCAAUACAACUGAUAUGCUGCACAGGUUGCACAGGUCAAAAAUGGUUUUUAAUAAAGCACUUAAUUUUUUAUUACCGUUUUCUUUUUUUGGCGAAUUAAUGACUGCUUGUGUGAGGUGGUGAGGAGCAGCAAAGAGAUAUAGUUUUUUUUACUCACAUAGGAAAACAAAUGAAACAUAAAUUUGUUUAUCCAAUUAUGGAGAGGACAGGAAAUAUAAUUUUGUUUCUUCUCCAAUUGUAGUGAGUAGGAAAUACAAAUUUGUUUCUCCAAUUAUGGAGAGCACAGUACAUUUUGCAGUGAUGAUUCACAUUUCUUUUGUCGUGCGGACGAUUUGUACAAAAUAUACACUUAUUUUCGUUCCUGUUCCUGUUGAUGCUUACUAGCUUAAAUAUAAAUUUUAAUCAUAAAUUUAAAUUUGGAGUUGAAUAUAGGUUGUCAUUAUGCUUUAUUGCUUUAUUUUUUAACUUGGUUGUUAGAUACUACCUCCGUUUACAUUCCCUCCGUUUUGUAAUGUAUUUCCUCC
rnacentral:lncRNA from 1 species